rnacentral:rRNA from 1 species
AGCAGCCGCGGUAAUUCCAGCUCCAAUAGCGUAUAUUAAAGUUGUUGCAGUUAAAAAGCUCGUAGUUGAAUUUCGGGGUUCUUCCGUUGGUCGGGCUAUCCAGUCUGUACUAGCGUGUAGAAUUCCUACCUUCUGGGGAACCAUCAUGUUAUUAAUUUAGCGUGGUGGGAAACCAGGACCUUUACCUUGAAAAAAUUAGAGUGUUCAAAGCAGGCUUACGUCUGAAUACAUUAGCAUGGAAUAAUAGAAUAGGACGGUGGUCCUGUUUUGUUGGUUUCUGAAUCACCGUAAUGAUUAAUAGGGAUAGUUGGGGGCAUUAGUAUUCAAUUGUCAGAGGUGAAAUUCUUGGAUUUAUUGAAGACUAACUUCUGCGAAAGCAUUUGCCAAGGAUGUUUUCAUUAAUCAAGAACGAAAGUUAGGGGAUCGAAGACGAUCAGAUACCGUCGUAGUCUUAACCAUAAACUAUGCCGACUAGGGAUCGGACGAUGUUAAAUUUAUUGACUCGUUCGCGCCUUACGGG